rnacentral:rRNA from 1 species
GAUGAACGCUGGCGGCGUGCCUAAUACAUGCAAGCCGAGCGAACAGACGAGGAGCUUGCUCCUCUGACGUUAGCGGCGGACGGGUGAGUAACACGUGGAUAACCUACCUAUAAGACUGGGAUAACUUCGGGAAACCGGAGCUAAUACCGGAUAAUAUAUUGAACCGCAUGGUCUAAUAGUGAAAGACGGUUUUGCUGUUACUUAUAGAUGGAUCCGCGCCGCAUUAGCUAGUUGGUAAGGUAACGGCUUACCAAGGCGACGAUGCGUAACCGACCUGAGAGGGAGAUCGGCCACACUUGAACUGAGACACGGACCAGACACCUACGGAGGGCGGCAGUAGGGAAGCGACCGCAAUGGGGGAAAGCCUGACGGAGCAACGCCACGUGAGUGAUGAAGGUCUUCGGAUCGUAGAACUCGAUUAUUAGGGAAGAACAAAUGUGUAAGUAACUAUGCACGACUUGACGGUACCUAAUCAGAAAGCCACGGCUAACUACGUG